rnacentral:tRNA from 1 species
GCCCUGGUGGCACAAUCGGUUAGCGCGCCGUACUUAUAAUGCGGAGGUUGUGAGUUCGAACCUCACCCAGGGCA